rnacentral:tRNA from 3 species
GCCCCCGUAGCUCAGGGGAUAGAGCAUCGGCCUCCGGAGCCGGGUGCGCAGGUUCGAAUCCUGCCGGGGGCACCU